CCUACGGGAGGCAGCAGUGGGGAAUAUUGCACAAUGGGGGAAACCCUGAUGCAGCGACGCCGCGUGAGUGAAGAAGUAAUUCGUUAUGUAAAGCUCUAUCAGCAGGGAAGAAAAUGACGGUACCUGAGUAAGAAGCCGCGGCUAACUACGUGCCAGCAGCCGCGGUCAUACGUAGGGGCCAAGCGUUAUCCGGCUUUACUGGGUGUAAAGGGAGCGUAGACGGCAGUGCAAGUCUGGAGUUAAAGGCGGGGGCUCAACCCCCGGACUGCUCUGGAAACUGUACGGCUGGAGUGCAGGAGAGGUAAGUGGAAUUCCUAGGGGAGCGGUGAAAUGCGUAGAUAGUAGGAGGAACACCAGUGGCGAAGGCGGCUUACUGGACUGUAACUGACGUUGAGGCUCGAAAGCGUGGGGAGCAAACAGGAUUAGAUACCCUUGUAGUC
rnacentral:rRNA from 1 species